CCUACGGGUGGCAGAAGUGGGGAAUAUUGCGCAAUGGGCGAAAGCCUGACGCAGCGAUGCCGCGUGAGGGAAGAAGGUCUUCGGAUCGUAAAACUCUGUCAGCAGGGAAGAACGGUCACUGUGCUAAUCAGCAGUGAAUUGACGGUACCUGCAAAGGAAGCACCGGCUAACUCCGUGCCAGCAGCCGCGGUAAUACGGAGGGUGCGAGCGUUAAUCGGAAUUACGGGGCGUAAAGCGCACGUAGGCGGUAUGUUAAGUCAAGUGUGAAAUCCCCGCGCUCAACGUGGGAACUGCCUUUGAAACUGGCAAACUGGAGUGUGUGAGAGGAUAGUGGAAUUCCAGGUGUAGGAGUGAAAUGCGUAGAUAUCUGGAGGAACAUCAGUGGCGAAGGCGACUAUCUGGAACAUAACUGACGCUGAGGAGCGAAAGCGUGGGUAGCAAACAGGAUUAGAUACCCCAGUAGUC
rnacentral:rRNA from 1 species